UACAGAGGGUGCAAGCGUUGUUCGGAUUUACUGGGCGUAAAGCGCGUGUAGGCGGCGGCGUAAGUCGGAUGUGAAAUCCCUCGGCUUAACCGAGGACGUGCAUCCGAUACUGCGUCGCUUGAGUGCCGGAGGGGAUGGCGGAAUUCCCGGUGUAGAGGUGAAAUUCGUAGAUAUCGGGAGGAACACCUGUGGCGAAGGCGGCCAUCUGGACGGUAACUGACGCUGAGACGCGAAAGCGUGGGUAGCAAACAGG
rnacentral:rRNA from 1 species